rnacentral:rRNA from 1 species
AUUGAACGCUGGCGGCAGGCCUAACACAUGCAAGUCGAACGAGUGGCGGACGGGUGAGUAAUGUCUGGGAAACUGCCCGAUGGAGGGGGAUAACUACUGGAAACGGUAGCUAAUACCGCAUACCCUCGGAUGUGCCCAGAUGGGAUUAGCUAGUAGGUGGGGUAACGGCUCACCUAGGCGACGAUCCCUAGCUGGUCUGAGAGGAUGACCAGCCACACUGGAACUGAGAAACGGUCCAGACUCCUACGGGGGGCAGCAGUGGGGAAUAUUGCACAAUGGGGCAAAGCCUGAGACAGCCAUGCCGCGUGUAUGAAGAAGGCCUUCGGGUUGUAAAGUACUUUCAGCGAGGAGGCGUUACUCGCAGAAGAAGCACCGGCUAACUCCGUGCCAGCAGCCGCGGUAAUUC